GCGGCAGGCCUAACACAUGCAAGUCGAACGGUAACAUUUCUAGCUUGCUAGAAGAUGACGAGUGGCGGACGGGUGAGUAAUGCUUGGGAACUUGCCUUUGCGAGGGGGAUAACAGUUGGAAACGACUGCUAAUACCGCAUAAUGUCUACGGACCAAACGGGGCUUUUAGCUCCGGCGCAAAGAGAGGCCCAAGUGAGAUUAGCUAGUUGGUAAGGUAAUGGCUUACCAAGGCAACGAUCUCUAGCUGUUCUGAGAGGAAGAUCAGCCACACUGGAACUGAGACACGGUCCAGACUCCUACGGGAGGCAGCAGUGGGGAAUAUUGCACAAUGGGGGAAACCCUGAUGCAGCCAUGCCGCGUGUGUGAAGAAGGCCUUCGGGUUGUAAAGCACUUUCAGUUGUGAGGAAAAGUUAGUAGUUAAUACCUGCUAGCCGUGACGUUAACAACAGAAGAAGCACCGGCUAA
rnacentral:rRNA from 1 species